UACGUAGGACCCAAGCGUUAUCCGGAUUGACUGGGCGUAAAGAGUUGCGUAGGUGGUUUGUUAAGCGAAUAGUGAAAUCUUGUGGCUCAACCAUAAGGCUAUUGUUCGAACUGGCAGACUCGAGAAUGGAAGAGGUAUCUGGAAUUCCCAGUGUAGGAGUGAAAUCCGUAGAUAUUGGGAGGAACACCAAUGGCGUAGGCAGGUCUCUGGGCCAUAACUGACGCUGAGAAGCGAAAGCAUGGGGAGCGAACAGG
rnacentral:rRNA from 1 species